AUACAGAGGGUGCGAGCGUUAAUCGGAAUUACUGGGCGUAAAGCGCGCGUAGGCGGCUUGGUCAGUCGGAUGUGAAAGCCCCGGGCUCAACCUGGGAAUGGCAUUCGAUACUGCCAGGCUAGAGUAUGGGAGAGGGAAGUGGAAUUUCCGGUGUAGCGGUGAAAUGCGUAGAUAUCGGAAGGAACACCAGUGGCGAAGGCGACUUCCUGGCCCAAUACUGACGCUGAGGUGCGAAAGCGUCGGGAGCGAACAGGAUUAGAUACCCUAGUAGUCC
rnacentral:rRNA from 1 species